UCAAGCUACUAAGGGCGCAUGGGGGAUGUCUUGGCAUUGGAAGGCGAUGAAGGGCGUGGAAGUCUGCGAAAAGCUCGGAGGAGUUGACAAACGAGCGUUGAUCCCGAGGUUCCCGAAUUGUUCCUGCGCUGAAUACAUAGGCGUGUGGAGGCUAACCUGGUGAACUGAAACAUCUCAGUAACCAGUGGAAAAUAAAGAAAAAUCGAUUCCGUAAGUAGCGGCGAGCGAAAGCGGAACAGCCCAAACCGCGGGGGUUUUCCCCUGCGGGGUUGUAGGGUCUUUCACAUGGGAGUUACAAAGCAGUCGAUUAGCGGAAGCUUCUGGAAAGUUGCACCACAGAGGGUGACGGUCCCGUACGCGAAAGUUGAACUGCCUCCCGAAGGAUACCUGAGUAGGUCGGGUCACGUGGAACCCCGACUGAAUCUACGGGGACCAUCCCGUAAGGCUAAAUACUCUCCGAUGACCGAUAGUGAACUCAGUAGCGUGAGUGAAAGAUGGGAAGAACCCCUGUUAGGGGAGGAUAGUGAACCUGAAACCAUGCGCUUACAAGCGGUCGGAGCACUAUGGCAAGCUUGCUUGCAAUGUGUGACGGCGUGCCUUUUGCAUAAUGAUCCGGCGAGUUACCGUUGGCGGCUUGGUUAAGUCUUUUCGGGACGUAGCCAUAGGGAAACCGAGUGUUAAUAGCGCGAAAUUGUCGUCAGUGGUAGACGCGAAACCUGGUGAUCUACCCAUGAGCAGGUUGAAGCGCGGGUUAUACUGCGUGGAGGACCGAACCCACUUGGGUUGAAAACCGAGGGGAUGACUUGUGGGGAGGAGUGAAAGUCUAAUCAAACCAGGAGAUAGCUCGUUCUCUCCGAAAUAGCUUUAGGGCUAGCCUCGUGCCACUAUGCAUUGGGGGUAGAGAUACUGAAUCGGAUGGGGGCCCUUCCCAGGGUACCCCACUGAACCAAACUCCGAAUACCAAUGUAACUAUCACGGGAGUCAGUCCACGUGGGAUAAGCUGCGUGGUCAAGAGGGAAACAACCCAGACCGUCGGCUAAGGCCCCUAAAUUGUGCUUAGUCACUAAGGAAGUGAGAUUGCUGAGACAGCCAGGAUGUUGGCUUAGAAGCAGCCACCAUUUAAAAAGUGCGUAACAGCUUACUGGUCGAGCAGUCUUGCGCCGAUAAUGAUCGGGAGUAAGUACGAUGCCGAAGCCGCGGGUUCAGUGAUCCUUCGGGUGAUCUGAGCGGUAGGAGAGCGCUGUACGUCAGAUACAAGCCGUACCGAAAGGAGCGGUGUCGGGGCGUACAGGUGAUUAUGCCGGAAUGAGUAACGAUAAAGCAGGUGAGAAUCCUGCUCGCCGAAAGCCUAAGGUUUCCUGGGGAAGGUAAUUCCGCCCAGGGUUAGCCGGUACCUUAGUCGAGGCCGAAAGGCGUAGACGAUGGAUAGCAGGUUAAUAUUCCUGCGCCACUUAUGUGGACCGAUGGAGGGACGGCGCGCGAAGGGUGAGCGGUACGAAUAGAAAUGUCCGUGGACCGUUGCAAGAUGGAGGGAUUGGCAAAUCCGCCCUCGGAAUUCAAGCGACGGGACCGAGAGCGUUUAAGUUCUUGAAGUCAUCCGCAGUGCGUCCAAGAAAAGCUUCUAAGGGUUGAAGCAUAGGUGACCGUACUAAAACUGACACAGGUAGGUGAGACGAGAAGUCUAAGGCGCUCGGGAGAACGGUGGUUAAGGAACUCUGCAAAAUGGCCCCGUAAGUUCGCGAUAAGGGGUGCCCUUGGCGGUUCACGCUGCUGGGGGCCACAGUAAAUCGGCUCCAACGACUGUUUAUCAAAAACACAGGUCUCUGCUAACACGUAAGUGGAUGUAUAGAGACUGACGCCUGCCCGGUGCCGGUAGGUUAAGGAAGCGGGUUAUCCCUUUCGGGGGAGAAGCUCUCGACCGAAGCCCCGGUAAACGGCGGCCGUAACUAUGACGGUCCUAAGGUAGCGAAGUUCCUUGUCGGGUAAGUUCCGACCUGCAUGAAAGGCGUAACGACAGAAGCACUGUCUCAACCAGCGACCCGGUGAAAUUGUAGUCGUGGUGAAGAUGCCACGUACCCGCAGUUAGACGGAAAGACCCCGUGAACCUUUACUGCAGGCUGAUAUUGGGCUGAGGUAUGUUUUGUGU
rnacentral:rRNA from 1 species